ACAUCGACUAUGAUAGGAACAGUAUCCAGUAAAAUUUCAGCAAAAGCGAGUCGGGGGCGGUGUGAGCCUGGCGCAUGAAUUAUUGGAGAAAAUCAUCCUUGAGUCCUGCUGCCGAACGAUUUAUUUUAAGCAGCAGCGGAUAGCAACCGUUAACAGCUACUUGAGUGGAGUAUAAUAAUGAUUAUGCUCUAUAAGGGUGGUACCGCGUGAAACGAUGCUUUCUCGUCCCUUUU
rnacentral:ncRNA from 1 species